rnacentral:lncRNA from 1 species
AUAUAUAUAUUUAUAUUUUAACUUUCAGUUCAAUUCAGGAUUAAAUCCUACUGUUGUUAAUUAUAGUAUUUCUUUUUAGUUGUAUAAAAUUAUUAAAGUAAUAUUUUCUUAUCGUGUAACAUGUUACCCACGUGUAUACUUGGACCAACCCGUUAUCUUAACAGGUGCUUAUCGGGUUACCCGAUUCGUUAUCGUGUCAACCCGAAAACCUGUUAAUUUUGUGUCAUGUCGCGUCGGGCUAAUAGGUCGUAUCAGAAAUUACCAAGCCUAGUGUGAAUACAUCUACAUCUUCCAUUUCUGCUUCUCCUUUAAAUUCGGGAAGUUUGUUUGUCCAAGUGCUUUAAUCAUUUAUUGUUUUGUAUCUUUGUUGUCUAUUUUUAUUAUUCCCAUCUUUAGUUUUUUUUUUCAUUCUUUUUGCUUUAGUUAUGACAAAAAUAAAUAAAAACAUUACAAAAUUAUAUACUUUUGAAAAAAUCAAGAAUAUUUUAUUUUUCUUUGAGUCUUGUUAUUGGCUACUUCCCAAUUCAAUUAUGAGAUUAAGUCUUAAUUUUCUCCUAACUUUCAAGAAAUUUUAGCUUGACAUUAGUUCUUUACAUUAUCUUUGUUUUAACCACUUUUUAUUUUUUAUUUUUUAUUUUUUAUGAUUAUGACUUGAAAAAUUUAUAUGCACAUAGCCUUGUUGAUAUGAAACUAAAGAAUGAUUUAACGAUUCAUAUGUAAAUUUGGAGAGCUUAUGUAACCCUUGUGAGCUUUUGAGCCUAUUAUAGAUUGAACCAUUAUGCAUCAAUUUCAUUGAUUCUUGUGCGCAUGAUCUCAAUUUUGUAUAUAUCUCUAGAACUGGCUUUAUAUCUCUCAUUGCAAUCAUCAAUUCAUGUAAAAUAUUGGAAAUGAUUUAGGC